GAGCUAAAUAGCAUAAUUCAAAUUAUUUUGAUUUAAAAUCUUAAUUAUUUCUCAAAAUAUUAAAAUUGAAAUUUUAAUAUAUAUUUUAAGGCAAAAAAUAAAAACCACAUUCACAAUACUGAAUAACUAAUAUACACAUUUCUAAUUUUCUCUCAAGCUUCUUGCUGGUGUGCGGGCUAUGGAGAGUUGAUAAAUCCGUUGGUUUUCUUAUUUGUUUCUCAAUCCAACUUCAUCAAGCUUCGUUUUCCUGCAAAUUCAUACACUUUCGAUCUCCAUUAUCUCUAAAUCCAAGCAAAGAUUUUUAUUUUUUUAUUUUUUUUGAAUUUCUUCCAUUCUUGUUUUUUCUUCGAUUUUUUAAAGGCUUUUAUUUUAUUGGUUGGCAGUUAAUUU
rnacentral:lncRNA from 1 species